rnacentral:pre_miRNA from 1 species
UCUUACGGAUGAGCAAAGAAAAUGGUUUUUUGAGAUAGAAUCUGCUCCUGGAGAAGAUGCUGUGAA